GCGAUUUCCUCCCCUGUUUGAUCGUCAGCGCUGCGUUCUCGGCAUUAACGGCGCCGCCUCCGCUGCCCGCCGCUUUGCCGGCAUCGGUAGCCCGGUCUCCCACCGCGACCGCAGCCCGACUUGUCCUGUUCGCCGCCGAUUUUUGAGCUCUCGCCUUCUUCAUGUCAUCCCACCAUUCCGAGUAACCGAUGAGGAGGAAGCACCCCUCCUUAGUGUGCUUUUUACCCCCGCAGUGUGUGCAGACGAGGCGGCUCCGGUCGUCCUCCAAUUUCUUCUGCCACGGCCGAUUGGUGGCGUUCGGUGGCUGACGGGAGCGGUUGCGGUCGACGAUGGCAAGUCCAUGGCCGAUUCCAGGGUGGUUCGCGUCCUUAGAGUGGCUGCUGCUGCCCAUGAUGUUCUCGUUGGUUGAUUCCCGGCGGACUAUGCCGUAUGCCAUUCGAGCAGUUGGUAACGGAUCCCGUCUGAUGAUCUCCUUCUUAACCGCUUCAAAUCUGUCGUCUAAGGCAGUGACAAACUGUGCUUCGAGUGUCGCCCCAUCUUGUUUGAUAGCCCCGGUUUGUCUAUGCAGAUCAUAAACUUGGUAGGGGUCAGUCCCACUACCGUAUGUGACGGCUAGACCUUCCCACAGGUUUCGUGCCGUCGCAUAUUGAGACACCUCAUUGACCAGAUCUGCCUCUAUGUUGUUGAUGAUCCAGUUGAAUACGCAGUGAUCCCUUUGUUGCCAUUGUUGGUAUGUAGGGUGGGAUCGAGGCGGUGGUUCGGACACUCCAUCGAUGUGAGAAGUUAGUCCCUUGCCUCCGAUCGCCCUAUCCAUCAGGUUUUCCCAGAGGGGGUAAUGUUCCCCAUCCAGUUUGGUUUGGACGAUGACAUCUCCAAGGAUUCGGGUUGAUGAGUCUUCGGUGUUGGGUUUGGGCUGUUGCUCGGUACUGAGCUAAAGCUUAGUUUGAGGAAUUCCGCAAACUGUGCGGCCAAUUCCGGCCUAAACAAUGGCGAACUUUGGCUUGUUGUUUCCGUCCUUUGUUUUGGUGUUUCAGUGUCGGAAUAAUCAGAUUCUGACAUGGUUGUUUGGGUUUGUGCAGGUACAAAGGGUCGAGAAAGGUUUUACGGACAAUGAUGAUAUUUUUCUGACUCCAUACCCGCUCGUGAUACCAUAUUGAAAUUAAAAAAUACAAGAGAGAUUGGUAGAAUAGUCUGAUGAGAUGUUUAUUACUGUGUAAUACUCCCCCUUAAUAUAGGGAUUGUUUACAAAGUAUUUUUGGUACAGAAUAUUCUAUUUUUAGCC